rnacentral:rRNA from 1 species
AUGGAAACUUACGCCGACCUCGGCCCCGACGGCGGCAACCCUACUCCGGCGAAGCCGGCCAUGGAGGAACCACGCGCUGCCACCGAUGUCGCUGCGGACCCAUACCUCGCCGGCACCGACGCGCUCCCCGCCUCCCACCUGGGUACUGACGCCGGCGCGAGGAAGCGGAAGGCCCCGGCUAUGGCGACGGGGAAGACUCCCAGGAAGCCUCGCAAGCCGCAGGUUGAAGAGCCGAUUCAGAUGCCUGUGUACUAUGGACUCACAAAAGAGUUUCUCAGCGUGGAAGGCAAUGAUUUAGUUGAAGAUUGCUCAGACCUCUUUGUAGAGAAUAAGUGUGCGCAUGUCAUCGGCGAGCUACCGCUGCAGCCACAGUCCAUGUCAUUGGUGGAUCUACAGCUCUGGGUCUUCAAGCUGUUCCGGCUCCAUCCAGAAACACAAGAUCUUGAUAUCAAGGGAUUCUUCAAACAGCACAAAAGGGACCUCACUGACGACGAGUCCUCCGAACCAGACUGUUCUUUGGAGUACUACCCGUGGGACAUACAUUAUUUUAGGACUGACAAAUGCUGGAGUUCCUUUGCCAAUAAAUUGAAGAGAAAAAGGAAUGUGACGCAGAAGUUCAUGUUGUAUGUGCAAUCUUCUGAGAUCAAGCACUACCACAUUUUGCUCAAAGCUGUAAAUGCCGAUUAUUCUCAACUGGCGACGGUUGUUUUGCCCGGCACGAAAAGCCUGACGGGUCGCUUCAGCUUUGGUGCCCUUGUGGAAGACCCAACAAUGACAGCUGAGGAAAUUGCAGAUUAUCUCACGCGUCACUAUGGUGAGCAGAUUAGUCCUGUUGAGGCGUGGAGAGCAAAACAGUUUGCUCUGGAGAGUAAAUUUGGAACCUUUUAUGAUUCACACAACUUUGCCCCGAGGUUACUCAAGGAAAUAGCACGUAAAAACCCUGGUACUUUUGUUGACAUCAAGGAUGCGGUGGUUGCAGGGUGUAAAGAUUUUCGAGUCCUCCAGCGUAUGUUUUGGGCAUUUGGACCGUGCUUACAGGCCUUCUGUACCUGUCGCCCUGUGCUAUGCAUCAAGGGCACACCACUAUGCGGGAAAUAUCAAGGGAUGCUGUUGACUGCUGUAGCAUCAGAUGCUAAUGAUUUCUCCAUUCCAGUAGCAUGUGCUGUUGUCGAGAAUGAGACCAAGGAAAGCUGGCUGUGGUUUCUUAGGAAUUUGGAGCGAGCAGUGGUGCAUCAGUCUGAUGUGUGCAUCAUACACGACUACAAAAAGGAGUUGAUUGAUGCUGUGGAGGACCUUCUGAAUUCCCGUGAGCGACAGUGGCGUAAAGCAGAAAGCCGGUGGUGCAUGGAAGACCUUGCUGAAAAUUUCUUUGCAUAUUUUGGCGACAAGAAGCUGGUGAUGAUGUUCAAGAAACUUUGCCAGCAGAAGCGACGCCAUAAGUUUGGCAAAAUCUGGAAGGAGCUAGACGAGCUGACAUCCACAUAUAUGGCGGAGAAAGAACAUGAUGGUAGUGGGGAAAUGCAGCAGAAAUCAGUCGAGCAUGAUGUGGCAGAGCUUGAGGUGCAAAGCCCGCGCAAUCAACAUGAUUCAGUUGGGGAUGUGAAGGAAGGAGAUCAUGCCGAUGACAGCAACAGAAAGAUAACAAAGUUCUCUGACUGGAUCGGUCCGAAACCAAAGGAGAAGUGGUCACUGGCAUACGAUCGAGAUGGAGCAAGGUAUGGCAUCAUGGGCAGUGAUACAACUGAUGCAUAUAAGAACGACCCUGUAUUGAAAGGGAUAACAUGCCUUCCGCUCAGUGCGAUAGUGGAGGUGACAUUCCUGCGUUUGGUAGAGUACUUCAAAAACUCAAGUGUCGCAGCAAACAAAGCGAUCGGCAACCCAAUAAUUAACUUCCCUGAACAUGUCCAGGUUGACCUGAAUUCCAAAAUGCAGAAAUCCGAGACGCAUAGACUUAUGUACACAUACGCCGAUGAAAAGAAUUAUCUUGGUAAGGUGGUUGAUCGAAAAUUUACAGUCAAGGGAAGGAAGAGGGAGGUGACUGUUCACCUGAAGACGGACUAUAUCGUCGGCAUUAAUAAGUCUAAAGGAUGCACAAUUCAAAAAACUGCCACCUGUUCAUGUGGCAAGCCACAGGUACUUCACAAGCCUUGCUCUCAUGUCAUUGCGGUCUGUUGUGAGAUUGGGGUUAGCACUGCCACAUACAUGUCCCCAUACUACAGCCUGCCCUAUCUCGGUAGGACCUGGAGGCAAAAAUUCAAUAAGUUCUCACACGACUACAGAGAUAUCAUACCACAUUGCUUCAGAGGUAUCAUACCAUUUGAAGGUGAAACAACAACUUGGAUCCCAGACAAAAGAUUGGAGUGUGGCCUUCCUGUUUGUCUGUCGCUGGACUGCGUACAAACUGCCGUGAUCGAGGAAGAGCAACAGCGCAGAACUGAAGAUGGAUCAGUUGCAGGCAAUGAUGAAGCCUAG